ensembl:snoRNA
UGGCAGUGACGAGUACUUUAUCCCGAAGCUGAUCAUCUAUUGAUGACACCAAAAAUUUACGGAUCUGAGUGCUGAGUU